rnacentral:rRNA from 1 species
UAAAGAGGGUGCGAGCGAUAAUCGGAAUUACUGGGCGUAAAGCGUGCGUAGACGGUCAUGUAAGUCGGGUGUGAAAUCCCCGGGCUCAACCUGGGAAUUGCAUUCGAGACUGCGUGGCUAGGGAGCGGAAGAGGGAAGCGGAAUUUCCGGUGUAGCGGUGAAAUGCGUAGAUAUCGGAAGGAACAUCAGUGGCGAAAACGGCUUCCUGGUCCAGCACCGACGUUCAUGCAAGAAAGCGUGGGUAGCAAACAGG